CGGGGAAUAUUGCACAAUGGGCGAAAGCCUGAUGCAGCAACGCCGCGUGAGUGAUGACGGCCUUCGGGUUGUAAAGCUCUGUCUUUGGGGACGAUAAUGACGGUACCCAAGGAGGAAGCCACGGCUAACUACGUGCCAGCAGCCGCGGUAAUACGUAGGUGGCAAGCGUUGUCCGGAUUCACUGGGCGUAAAGGGUGCGUAGGCGGACCUUUAAGUGAGAUGUGAAAUCCCCGAGCUUAACUUGGGGGCUGCAUUUCAAACUGGAGGUCUAGAGUGCAGGAGAGGAGAGUGGAAUUCCUAGUGUAGCGGUGAAAUGCGUAGAGAUUAGGAAGAACACCAGUGGCGAAGGCGACUCUCUGGACUGUAACUGACGCUGAGGCACGAAAGCGUGGGGAGCAAACAG
rnacentral:rRNA from 1 species